GACGAACGCUGGCGGCGCGCUUAACACAUGCAAGUCGAGCGAGAACCAGGACUUCGGUCCUGGGGACAGCGGCGAACGGGUGAGUAACACGUGGAUAACCUGCCCUCGGCACCGGGAUAGCCCGAGGAAACUCGGAUUAAUACCGGAUAGCCAUUCCGACUCUCGGGUCGGUCUGAAAAGGUAGCUUCGGCCUCUGGUCGAGGAUGGGUCCGCGGCGGAUUAGCUAGUUGGUGGGGUAACGGCCUACCAAGGCAACGAUCCGUAGCUGGUCUGAGAGGACGAUCAGCCACACUGGGACUGAGACACGGCCCAGACUCCUACGGGUGGCAG
rnacentral:rRNA from 1 species